CGCCUACUACCCUAACGUCACCGGGGACUACGGCGUUGUCUUCUUUAUCCCGGGACUGGACGGUGUCAUUCUCAGCGCGUUCUACUCCGAGUAUCUCACUGCAAUAGCUCAGCAUGGAUUCGUCGUGGUCGCUAGUGACUACAUUUUUCCUGCGCUUGAUAACCCGUCCGGUUACCACAUGAACAAA